rnacentral:rRNA from 1 species
CACUAGUGAUUGAAACGACUGCUAAGACUGGAUAGGAAGAUAAAAGGCAUCUUGUAUCUUUUAAAAGACCUAGUUAAUAGGUAUGCUUUAGGAGGGGCUUGCGCCAUAUUAGUUAGUUGGUAGGGUAAUGGCCUACCAAGACGAUGAUGUGUAGCUGGACUGAGAGGUUGAACAGCCACAUUGGGACUGAGACACGGCCCAAACUCCUACGGGAGGCAGCAGUAGGGAAUUUUCGGCAAUGGAGGAAACUCUGACCGAGCAACGCCGCGUGAAUGACGAAGUACUUCGGUAUGUAAAGUUCUUUUAUCGAGGAAGAAAAGCAAAUGGCGAACCAUUUGUUUGCCGGUACUUGAUGAAUAAGCCCCGGCUAAUUAUGUGCCAGCAGCCGCGGUAAGACAUAAGGGGCAAGUGUUAUCCGGAAUUAUUGGGCGUAAAGGGUGCGUAGGCGGUCUAGUAAGUCAGUGGUGUAAUGUCAACGCUUAACGUUGUCCGGCUAUUGAAACUGCUAAACUUGAGUUAGAUAGAGGCGAGUGGAAUUCCAUGUGUAGCGGUAAAAUGCGUAAAUAUAUGGAGGAACACCAGAGGCGUAGGCGGCUCGCUGGGUCUUAACUGACGCUGAGGCACGAAAGCGUGGGGAGCAAACAGGAUUAGAUACCCUGGUAGUCCACGCCGUAAACGGUGAGUACUAAGUGUCGGGUUAAACCGGUACUGGAGUUAACACAUUAAGUACUCCGCCUGAGUAGUACGUACGCAAGUAUGAAACUUAAAGGAAUUGACGGGACUCCGCACAAGCGGUGGAUCAUGUUGUUUAAUUCGAAGAUACCCGAAAAACCUUACCAGGUCUUGACAUGUUUUUGCAAAAUGAUAGUAAUAUCGUGGAGGUUACCAGAAACACAGGUGGUGCAUGGUUGUCGUCAGCUCGUGUCGUGAGAUGUUAGGUUAAGUCCUAAAACGAGCGAAACCCUUAUCGUUAGUUGCCAGCACGUUAUGGUGGGGACUUUAACGAGACUGCCAAUGAUAAAUUGGAGGAAGGUGAGGAUCACGUCAAAUCAGCAUGCCCCUUAUGACCUGGGCUACAAACGUGAUACAAUGGCUGUUACAAAGGGUAGCUGAAACGCAAGUUCUUGGCCAAUCCCCAAAAACAGUCCCAGUCCGGAUUGAAGUCUGCAACUCGACUUCAUGAAGUUGGAAUCGCUAGUAAUCGCGAAUCAGCAUGUCGCGGUGAAUACGUUCGCGGGGUUUGUACACACCGCCCGUCAAAUCG